rnacentral:sRNA from 1 species
AGCCCGGAUCGCUUGUUUUUUUUUUUAAACCUUCCACUGCCUAUCUGAGGCAUCUAACGUCUCGCGAGCUGCUACGCUGAUCAGCAGAGGGAUCCUACCGAGAGGCUCAGGGAGCUUUGAUUGCGAGAAAAAGAUUAAAUAUUAAUUGAUAUUACUUAGACGUCCCACAAAUUCUCCUUGAUCAAUGUCCCUCUGUGUAUUAAUUAUCAUAUUUCAAUAACCCCUUCUUGCUAUUUGGUCCCUUAUUUUGCCAAUUGUCCCGAUUUGAGUCUAUGCAAUCUCAAAUAGGACUUGCUCACUGGUACUCCGUACUCCAACCUGCAUGAGAGAAACUCUGAGAGUAAAAAUUCUCAUCUCUUUUCUUCAGAGAGAUUGUCAAAGCCUUUCUAGUUUCUGUAAAAUCACGGAUACUAAUACGACCUGUUGUAUUGUUUCAAUUUAUCUACUAUCUCUUAUUCUUUAUUUCAGUAUUGCUACAGAUGAGUGUUGAGAAGUUACUUUGCUAGAAAAUCACCAAUUCAUAGCUGCAUGUAAUCAGCCAUGGGACUUAUGGUUUGCUCAAGGUUUUCAAGAACCAGUUUACUGCUCCCUUUACACCUUCAUACGUGUGAGAUCGGUUGAUCGUGCGCGAAAAGAUAGUAGAGAUAAGGAUGUAGAAAUAGAAAUAGGUAAUAUUUAUCAACCAGCU